rnacentral:rRNA from 1 species
UACAGAGGGUGCGAGCGUUGUUCGGAAUUACUGGGCGUAAAGGGCUCGUAGGCGGCCAACUAAGUCAGACGUGAAAUCCCUCGGCUUAACCGGGGAACUGCGUCUGAUACUGGAUGGCUUGAAUCCGGGAGAGGGAUGCGGAAUUCCAGGUGUAGCGGUGAAAUGCGUAGAUAUCUGGAGGAACACCGGUGGCGAAGGCGGCAUCCUGGACCGGCAUUGACGCUGAGGAGCGAAAGCCAGGGGAGCAAACGGG